AAGUGCUUGCUCAAGUAAAUACUACUAACACUAUUCUCACUUACUCUACUACAUAGCCAAAUACAGGCCAACACUGUAAACUAGUUUCUUUUUACUGUCAUGCAUCAACAAUGUAGCGCCAGAUAGGUGACACUGAGGGAUGUUUCUCCCUUUUGCUUUAGGGUUUUGGUGUUCUUUUUUUUCAACAAUAACAGUAGCUGGAAGCAAAUCAAGGGAAUUACUUAAGGCACUGUAAAAUUAGGCAGGGUAGUAAAAAGACAAUCAUUUCUACUAAUGUUUUCCUCUAAAUUUUAAAACUAUGAAAAAAUAUUUUAGAUAGGGAAACAGUGCCAGAAGAAAUUGACUUGUCAUUUGAUAAAUCUUAUAAUUAGUGUAAUAAAUUAAAUGGUUUGGGAUUUUUGCAAAGUGGAAUCAGCUUUUGACUGCUCAGAAAUCGACUAGAGUAACCUUCUGCCAAUAGCUGAUGGUUCAUUUCAUUUAAGUGAAUGAAGCCACUUUAUGAGCAAAGUAGGCUGGCCACUGGUGAGUCUGUGCUACAGACAAGAUGAGUGGAUGGACCAUCAAUGGCUCAUUGAGGCUAAAGUGCACUGUAUUAAAAAGUUUAUGUAGCUUUUACUGUUAGCCAAAGUAACAAGAUUGUAAGGUUUUUGUUUCUGUCUUUUUAACAGUGAAAUAGGAGUUCCUUCUGCAAUAAAGCCAGUAACGCUUUUCGUCACAAGGUGGUAGCAGAUAUGAAGGAAUCGAAAAUCACACAUUUAUCUUAAGUUUAUACAUAAGGUGAAGAAAAACAAAAUGUUGGAAAAAAAAGGGAAGAAAAAAGCUGUCAGAAAACAAUGAACAAGCAAGUGAGUGAUGCAGCACUUCAGCAGAUCCUCAGCCAAAGCAGAGAAAAGAGCUGCACACAGGUCAUGAGUGUAUGGCACAUCGUGGCCUCUUUUGCCUCUUGUUCUUAACAUUCAGAGAAGUGGAGGAGGGAGCAGAAGGAACAGAAUCUUCGACCGAGAGAGACAUUUUCUCAGACAUAUACUUGUUCUGAAGGAUCUCAUCCUCUUCAUCUAAGAAACUGAGCAUUCUGUAUAAAAUCUACUUCAGAGCUUGUGCUUCUUCAUGGUCACUGUCUUUCUUUAAAGAAUCAGGAGAGGAGAGUGGAAAAACUGGGUAGUAUUCAGCAACAGAGAAGACAAACAGAGCUAGAAAGCUCCACCUUUUGAUCGUGGAGCUGUGCAUGGUUAUUACUUUAUGGUGUUUGUCUAUUGCCUGUCCUUAGCAGUUCAUAAUUCUGAUGGUGCUUUUGGGCCAAAUGGCUCAGGCCAACUGUUCAAAUUAGUUAAGGUUUGAUCUCAGAAUAUAGUAAUCAAUUUACACACAUUAUAAGUACUUAUACAGGACACUUUCAAAUAUGGCAAUAAUUGCAGAACUAUAAAUAUUUGUACAUUUAACACACAUCAAUACUGUGUUAGUAUCUAUUGGCCUGUUCUUACUAUCUGUGUGCUAAAAGCAUAUAAACUGAGAGUAAUCAUGUAUUGCAAUUUUCUGGCACAUGUGUGGGAGAUCCACGACAUUUUGUAUCAGGAGGGCUGAGCAGAGGUCAGUUAAUUCCCAUCCCCCUUUAAUUUUUUUUGCAACUUGAGAUUUUACAGAUUCAUGGGUCAUUCCACAAUGCUGUUCCUCUGCAGCUACAGAGAUAUGUUUCUAGGCUUAACUGACCUUUUCAUCAUUGGCUAGAGGAGUUGCUGUGGUAAUGAUGUUUUGACUUGUUCACUCUUCACAGGCAAUGUAAUAUUAUAUGUAUAUUAAUUCAAGGUUGUCUCCCAUAAUAACACACCAAUUCUAUACUUGAAAAUCCAAUGUUGGGAAGAUAGUGGCAGAGAUUUUAGACACUGUUCUGAACAUAAGUUUUGUAAGACGUUUAUGCGUCAGAAAUUUCAGUGAAAUUGUUAAGAGUUUGAUCUAGGAGAGUAAACCAGCUGAGCUGAUACGUGCAUUCCUAUCAGAUGUCCUGCACAGAGUUCCUACAGCAGAGUAAAGGAAAGCUGCACAUUAAUCUUUGUGAGUAUCUGUGGCAGGGACAGAAAUUUGAGCUUCCUCAUCCAUGUACAAGGAAGAAAUUUUUGGAUGUAAGCUUUAAGGCACUAGAAAGGGAAUUAUAUAAUGAGUCAAUUCAGGAGAAAAAAAAAAAAAAAAAAGUUUAGCAGGCUACACGCAUGCCUAGAAGACCUUUGAGAAAGAUCAAAUUGCACAGGCAUUUCGAAGUCUUCCAAGUCAGUGCUAACUGCGUAAAUCAUAUUGCACAGAACAUUUUUUUUUUUUGCUAAGACUACAUUUUAGAACUGCAGAUCAAACAGCUGCAGGCCUAAUGGCAGAAUUUUUAUUUACAGGUUCAAUUUUUAGAGUUGUGGGCUCACAUGAUAUUUUGAAAAAGAAACACAUAGGAAUGGAUCUAGUCUUAAAAUUGUCACUUGCAGAAAAACAUUGUCACAGAUGUAGUUGUAGAGCACACUGAAGUGGUGAAUUUUGAAAGAGGUAGCCCAUUUCAAAUUUAGAGCUGUAUCUUUUAGGCAGAAGAAUCCUAGGACUAGAGGCUAUGGUGCAGUUGUAUCUUUUUGAAAAUAAAGUCUGGCUUUAUCAAACUGCAGCCUACUGUCUCUAUUUUGGGGCUCCCCAGUGACAAGGAAGAUACUAGUUUACUGGACCAAGUCAAUGGAUGAUUUCUGCUAUGAUUAGGAGUCUGAAGCCCAAGACACACAAGGAGAAGUUGAGACAGCUAACUUUGUUCAGAGG